rnacentral:lncRNA from 1 species
CCCCGCUGUGAUGCAAACCCCGCUCUGAUCCUUGUCGCAAAUCCCCCAGGCACACGUGGCAGGCACACGUGGCCACGGCGGGGCUGGGGACGGUGGCACCAGCAGGGCCACCCGUGGGUGCGCGGGGCGCUACGCCCCUGUUGCACACGCAUGUGCCCAGAUGGGUGUCCAUGAUAACAAAGUGGGGGGGCGUGGAUAGGGGACCCCAUGUGUGUCACUGGGACACAGGGGGUGGCCCUGUGUCCCCAUGGGUCCCCUUGCCUUUGGCCCUGUCCCCAACCCCAUGCUUGGUGCCAGCCAUGGGGUGCUUGGUCAUGGUGCCAGGUCACUGUGCAGACAUCCCUGUGCCGGUACCUGUCCUGUCCCCAUCCCAGUCCCUGUCCCACUGCGGGUACCAGUGCCUCUCCCUGGCCUGGUGCCACCAUCCCCAUGGGCAGGCAGGGAGCGGGGUGAGAACCGGGCUGAUCGGCCGGGACUGGGGGCUGGAGGUCAGCGACAUGGAGUCCGCUUGGAGGCCAUCAACGAGCAGAGUGCUCUGGGGGCAGUGCUGCCUCCAGUUCCGUUGAACAGCUUCGUUAACGGGCUGGGUGAUGGGGGAGUGCGGCCUCAAUAAAUUUGGGGUUGACUCAGAAUGGAUCCGGGACAGAGCUGGGCACUGCAGGGAGGCCACCGAGAUGCGGGAGGGACUGGAGCAGCUCUGCUGCCAGGAGAGGCUGAGGGAGCUGGAGAAGAGGAGGCUCAGGAGGAGCCCGUCAGUGUCUGCCAGCACCUGCAGGGGGGCUGAAAAGGGGACAAAACCCUGCACAAGUGCUGUGAUCCCGGUGUGAUCCCGGUGUGAGGAGCCCCCCCGAUCCCCUCCCCGCUCUCCUCCGCCCCACAAGAGGCGCUGUGCAGGCCCCGGGGCAGCCAUGGCGGCGCUGAGGGCCGCGCUCUUGGCUCCGUUGCUGGCCCUGAGCCGGGCCGGGCCGGGCCCUGCACCCUCAGCCCGCAUCGAGGUGGAGCUGGCGGGGCCUGGAGCCGGCAACGGAGCCGGGAACGGAGCCGGGGAGGCCGCGGGGCCCGGCGGCUCCUACACGCUGCGAGGGGCCCUGCUGGGAGGGCCGCGGGAGGAGGCGAUCGGAGGGCGGCUGCUGCUGGUGGGAGAUGAGGAGCCUGAGCUGGGCGCUGAGGACAGCUGGAUCGGCGUGGUGCCGCUGGGCGAGGAGCCGGCCGACGGUCCCCGAGGUGCCAAGGAGGAGUCCUUCACUGCCGCCGUGGUCAGCAAGAUGAAGCGAGCCCUGGUGCUCGGGGCAUCGGCACUGCUCAUCCUGGCGCUGAACCAGAACGCCAUCCGAGAGGUAGGGGAGCUCCAGCAGCCCUGCUGGCGCCCUGGAUCCUCUUCUGCAUCACUCACGGGUAUUGGUUUUGUGUUCGGUGCAGCUGGAUGUCUCUCAGCUCCUCGCCAAGCCCAUCAUCGUGAUCCAGUCCUCGGACAACGUCACCAGGCUGCUGGGCGCACUGCUGCGGUGAGAGCUCUCCUGAAGCAGUCGGGUUUGUGCUACGGCCGCUGAAGGGUGGCAGGGCACGGCCAGCACUUGGGGGAAGCACCAGGAGGGAUGGGACAGAAGGGGCCCAAGGGGGUGUCUGGCAUGCUCAGCCUGGCACAGGAGCUGGGGCAUCUGCUGUGCUUUCACAGAUGGG